CUCUACCCAGAGCCACUGCUGCGGCCGCCGCCAUUUUAGCGUUUUGUCAGAAGCGUCCGCGCCGCGAGGAGGAGGCCCUGCUGAUUUCUGUGCGGGCUCUUGUCAGGAUGGUGAAGCUGUUCAUCGGAAACCUGCCCCGGGAGGCCACAGAGCAGGAGAUCCGCUCUCUUUUCGAGCAGUAUGGGAAGGUGCUGGAAUGUGACAUCAUUAAGAAUUACGGCUUUGUGCACAUAGAAGACAAAACUGCAGCGGAAGAUGCCAUACGCAACCUACACCAUUACAAGCUUCAUGGGGUGAACAUCAACGUUGAAGCCAGCAAGAAUAAGAGCAAAACGUCAACAAAGUUGCAUGUGGGCAACAUCAGUCCCACCUGCACUAAUAAGGAGCUUCGAGCCAAGUUCGAGGAGUAUGGUCCGGUCAUUGAAUGUGACAUCGUGAAAGAUUAUGCCUUCGUACACAUGGAGCGGGCAGAGGAUGCAGUGGAGGCCAUCAGGGGCCUUGAUAACACAGAGUUUCAAGGCAAACGAAUGCACGUGCAGUUGUCCACCAGCCGGCUUAGGACUGCGCCCGGGAUGGGAGACCAGAGCGGCUGCUAUCGGUGCGGGAAAGAGGGGCACUGGUCCAAAGAGUGUCCGAUAGAUCGUUCAGGCCGCGUGGCAGACUUGACCGAGCAAUAUAAUGAGCAAUACGGAGCAGUGCGUACGCCUUACACCAUGAGCUAUGGGGAUUCAUUGUAUUACAACAACGCGUACGGAGCGCUCGAUGCCUACUACAAGCGCUGCCGUGCUGCCCGGUCGUAUGAGGCAGUGGCGGCUGCAGCUGCCUCCGUGUAUAAUUAUGCAGAGCAAACCCUGUCCCAGCUGCCACAAGUCCAGAAUACAGCCAUGGCCAGUCACCUCACCUCCACCUCUCUCGAUCCCUACGAUAGACACCUGUUGCCGACCUCAGGAGCUGCUGCCACAGCUGCUGCUGCAGCAGCAGCCGCUGCUGCAGUUAAUGCAGCUUCCACUUCAUAUUACGGGCGGGAUCGGAGCCCCCUGCGUCGCGCUACAGCCCCAGUCCCCACUGUUGGAGAGGGCUACGGUUACGGGCAUGAGAGUGAGUUGUCCCAAGCUUCGGCAGCCGCGCGGAAUUCUCUGUACGACAUGGCCCGGUAUGAGCGGGAGCAGUAUGCCGAUCGAGCGCGGUACUCGGCCUUUUAAAGCUUGAGGUCCCAGUUACUAAGAAGACUACCAAAAUGGCAUCAUCUUAAUCUUGAAGCGUAUUUCUGACAUUCCUGAACGGUUCAACCCUUAGGAGUUUUAUAGAACUUAUUUGAUGGUGGGAUGUGUGUGGGCUGAAAUUCCGAGCUGCGGUUGUGCAUGAGAAUACACCCUUCGUGGUACCCCAUCUCCGGGACGUUCUCGGCUCUGUGCGUUCAGUCCCUCAGGAACCGUGGACCUUAAUUUACCUUGCUAAGUUCAGACCUUCUCUUCCUUUACUUUCCUUUCCUCUCCUGCCCGUUUUCCUGUUCUUCUGUCCUUCAGUACUUCUGUAGCUUCCCAUUCAUGUUCUGUUCUCCCAGCAGGCCUCAUUGUGUGCCGAAACUGUGGUGGGGGCUGUGCUGUCUCCUCCCUGCCUCUCCUGCCUCCUGCGGCUGUUGGAUUUGGGAAUGACCUUGGUGAGAGUCUCACUGCCCCGGGUCUCUUUUUGGUCCAAAGGCUAGACCUAGAGCAUUGGAUCACUUUUUUCUUUCCGGUGAAAUAAAUGGUUUUUCAACUUA